UACGUAGGGUGCGAGCGUUAAUCGGAAUACUGGGCGUAAAGCGUGCGCAGGCGGCUUUGCAAGACAGAUGUGAAAUCCCCGGGCUUAACCUGGGAACUGCAUUUGUGACUGCAUGGCUGGAGUGCGGCAGAGGGGGAUGGAAUUCCGCGUGUAGCAGUGAAAUGCGUAGAUAUGCGGAGGAACACCGAUGGCGAAGGCAAUCCCCUGGGCCUGCACUGACGCUCAUGCACGAAAGCGUGGGGAGCAACAGG
rnacentral:rRNA from 1 species